rnacentral:lncRNA from 1 species
GCUCCAGGAGGUGGCCAGCGCUUCGCCUCUGCGGACCCCUUUGCGGGACGCGGUGAAAGCGUUUGCCCGUUUGGCCGCAGGAAAACGCCGGGAUGAGCAGUGAGGAAGUGACUUAGAAGUUAUUAAAAGCAGUUCUGGGACCCAGUGGGGCCCAGUUUGCUUCCUAGGAGGCCAGUGGAGGCUGAAACAGCUGUUGGACUGGGAGGAAGAGGCCUAGUCCCCAUGGUGGACCCAGCUGCCUAGAGGGCAUUUUAUGUUGAAUGCAAGAAUAUUUCUCACCCAGGUCCUUAGCAGGUGAGGCCCUGUAACCCAGCUGAACUCCACAUCUGCAGAGCCCCAGCUUGAAGACAAAAGAUCAGAGAACUUGAGAAACCUGGGAACAGGGGCAUCUUUGGAGCUUUGCCUUUAUUCACAGAAGUCUGAAAGUACCAUCAAGUAGAAGUUGUGUCUUCGUCCUCUUCUGCUUACUGGGAAGAACAUGGCUUCAAGGAUUUUAAGUUUCCAUUUAGUUUUGCAUGAACUCUGUGGGAAACAGAGCCCUUAACAGGGUCAGGAGUAACAAGCAGAGACUGAAGACGGUCAGGUUUGCUCCGUUUUCCCUCCCCCUCCAAAGGAAAGGAUUUACAACUCAGCCCUGUAACAGCUGUUGUCCAGUGUUGGCCGUCAAGAGAGAAGUAAAUAAAGUUAAGCUGCCGGUGCCAGACUGCAGGGCCUGGUGAAGCCGUGUGGGCGUGGUGGCCUCGGGAGGCUGCGCAGGACAGGACUGCAGGCAGGGCAGCGGGGCGCACCUUCAGGG